AAGUUAUGGCAUAAAAUAUUGAAAUUCAGCUAAAAUAUAUCAUUAUAUAGUAGUUACAUUAGCCGCCAUAUUGAUUUCUUUCACUACCUGAGUUUAUAGAAACAGUAGAUAUUAAAUUCAUGGAAUGUUCAACUUGCUAUGGAUAAAUACAUCUCAAAAUAUUCGCAAACAUUGGUUACCAACAUUAGCAAUAAUAUGCAUGUGAUGUCAUUAGAAGAGGAAACAAGAUUUUUUUUGUAUUAGUAAACGACUAAAUAGAAUGAUAAUAAAUGAUAUCACAGAGAAUAUG